rnacentral:rRNA from 1 species
CGGCGCCACGAGUGGCAAUCAUGUAUUUGGCCUAAAGCGUCCGUAGCCGGUUUGGCAAAUCUUCUGUGAAAUCGAGCAGCUCAACUGUUCGGCGGACAGGAGACACUACCAAACUUGGAACCGGGAGGGGUACAGAGUAUUCCAGGGGAAGCGGUAAAAUGCUAUAAUCCCUGGAGGACUACCUAUGGCGAAGGCACUGUACCAGAACGGAUUCGACGGUGAGGGACGAAAGCCAGGGGAGCGAUCCGGAUUAGAGACCCGAGUAGUCC